rnacentral:rRNA from 1 species
CCCUUAGAUGUCCGGGGCUGCACGCGCGCUACACUGAAGGAAUCAGCGUGCUAGAAAACCUUGUUUGACAUGGCUAGGUAACCCGUUGAAAAUCUUUCGUGAUUGGGAUCGGGACUUGCAAAUGUGUCCCUUGAACGAGGAAUUCCCAGUAAGUGCGGGUCAUAAGCUCGCGCUGAUUACGUCCCUGCCCUUUGUACACACCGCCCGUCGCUACUACCGAUUGAACGGUUUAGUGAGGGCCUCGGAUUGGUCUCGGCCCGCUCUUUACCGGGCGGCGCCGUUGGUCGAGAAGACGCUCGAACUUGAUCGUUUAGAGGAAGUAAAAGUCGUAACA